rnacentral:piRNA from 1 species
AGGAAGGGGUGUUCGCUUGUUGG